AGAGGAACUUGUCAAGGUCUGCAGCAUGGCUGGCGUCUGCCCUGGGAGUUCUGAGCAGUGAGGUUGCCUCGAGAGGCAUGGAACUAUGCAAGCUAAGUAGAGGGACUGCUUUAGGAGGCAAGGGGGUGGGAGACAGGGUCAGAAUGGCAGGAAGGUGUUUGAGAUGUAUCGUUCCAAUGUAGUGUUUGAUCCAGAAUGUCUGAGAAGACGCUUGGAGGUGCCUGGGAGGGGAAUGGUCAGUUUUAGUAAAGGUAGUGCCUGGGAGUUAAAUGCCAGGAUGAAAAGGUGCCAUUUGUGGGGCUUAAGUCUGAGGUGUCUUGUCAGGGGCAGUAGGUAACGGUCCUCGGUGAACCAGGCAAGGGUGGGAAAGUAGUGUUUGUUGCCUUUGGCUCCUCGCAGAGAGUUGUGCUGUGGCUGCUUCAGGCGAAGUCCAGCUUUGGUUCCUAGCCAGGGAGUUGUGCUUUAGAGCUGCCUGGAGAAGUCCUGACCCUGGGAGACCUUCCUAGAUACGCUUGGCCGCUUCUUGCGACGUGGGCUGGCCCCCUGCGUAGCAAUGAGCGUGCUUUUUUAUGGCGAGAUGGUUAGCCACGUGUGAGAGGCUGAUGGAGGAGGGUUGAGCUGAGUGACAGUACCAGGCGGUGCCCGGGCUCAAAGAAGAGAAGGGAAGACGUGCAAAGUCCAGCGCAGGAGUAGCAGAGUGAUGGGAG